CCUGAAGCCCUGCUGACAUUUCAAAGGGCCUGAGUGAUGCUUUGCUGAUGGCUCGUUGUGUGCUGAGCAUGCUGCAGAGGUCUGCAGGAAGGGCUGCUGUUCCCUGGGGCUGCUCUGUGGAUCCAGAUGCCUGUACUCAGGAUGUGAGACAAAAUCUUGAAAACCUGGACAUCUCUGCCAAGCACCUUGCCUUCAGUUCAGGAUGGUGAUGCCAGCGAGAACCGCAGCAGCAGCACACCCCAAGCAGCAUCCUUGCUUCAGCCCAGGGGCUACGGCUGUUCCUUAUCUAACAUUUGAGCAGCAGAUGGAGCACAGGACCAGACAAAAGCUCACAGGAUCACUGUGCUCAUAAAGAAGGAGAAGGAGGGGAGCGCAGCAAUGGUUUUGCUGUUCGGCAUUGCAGCCCGGAGAGGACCGUGUGUUCUUAGCCCUGCCAGCUUCACGUGUCAGUGCUUCCCCUUAGUGUGUGAAGUGCCCUCUGAGUUCCCCUCUUCCUUGGACAAACAUCCACAUCAGAAGAAAAUGAGCCAAAAUGGGCACCAGCCCAAGUGCACCCUGUGUCCUUCCUGCUUUAAAGCAGCUUCUUUGUGCGAAGAGCUUCUGCAGAAGGAAAAAAAUAUUGCUUCGACUUUCAGGUAUUUUAAAGCACUUCACAAAGUAAUGAUAUGUUAUUAAACAGUGAUAGAGAAGAGAUUACCUUUCUAAUAAGGACCCCCGGGAAAACAAAUCAUUUGAACGCUGGAUUUCAUAUUCUUGGACUUCUUUUCC
rnacentral:lncRNA from 1 species